GGCUAGAGUGCUUAAAUAUCCUAAAGGCACCAAAUCCUGUCUGAUCUCAGAAGCUAAACAGAAUCAGCACUUGUGGGUACUAGGAUGAGAUCAUCAAUAAUACUAGGAGCUGUGGCCA
rnacentral:rRNA from 11 species